CUCAGUCUGUACUUUAACUCAGCACUCCUCCUUCUCUCCUGCAGCCAUGAAGCUCCUACCAGCCCUGCUGCUCCUCACAGCUCUCACUCUCUCAGGUGUUCAGGGUGAGAUUGUCCUGACAGAAUCUGAAGCAGUGGUAAAGAGACCAGGAGACUCUCACACACUGACCUGUACAGCCUCUGGGUUCACAUUCAGCAGCUACUGGAUGGGCUGGAUCAGACAGGCUCCAGGGAAGGGACUGGACUGGUUGGCCAGUGAUGGUGGUUAUGCCAAUACUGUUAAGGGAAGAUUCACCUUCUCCCGAGACAACAGCAAGAACCAGCUGUAUCUACAGAUGAACAGCCUGACAGCUGAAGACACUGCUGUGUAUUACUGUGCCAAGUGA